CCUACGGGCGGCAGCAGUAGGGAAUCUUCCACAAUGGGCGAAAGCCUGAUGGAGCAACGCCGCGUGGGUGAAGACGGUCUUCUGAUCGUUAAACCCUUUUGUUAGAGAAGAAAGUGCGUUAGAGUAUCUGUUCACGUUUCGACGGUAUCUAACCAGAAAGCCUCGGCUCACUACGUGCCAGCAGCCGCGGUAAUACGUAGGAGGCAAGCGUUAUCCGGAUUUAUUGGGCGUAAAGGGAACGCAGGCGGUCUUUUAAGUCUGAUGUGAAAGCCUGGGGCUUAACCGGGGGCGUGCAUCGGAAACUGGGAGACUUGAGUGCAGAUGCGGAGGGUGGAACGAGUAGUGUAGCGGUGAAAUGCGUAGAUAU
rnacentral:rRNA from 1 species